CCUACGGGAGGCAGCAGUGGGGAAUCUUGGGCAAUGGGCGAAAGCCUGACGGAGCAACGCCGCGUGAGUGAAGAAGGCCUUCGGGUUGUAAAACUCUGUCUUCAGGGAAGAAAGAGAUGACGGUACCUGAGGAGGAAGCCACGGCUAACUACGUGCCAGCAGCCGCGGUAAUACGUAGGUGGCAAGCGUUGUCCGGAAUUACUGGGCGUAAAGAGCGCGUAGGCGGGGAUUUAAGUCAGGAGUGAAAACUGCGGGCUCAACCGGCAGCCUGCUCUUGAAACUGGAUUUCUUGAGGGUAUGAGAGGAAAGCGGAAUUCCCAGUGUAGCGGUGAAAUGCGUAGAUAUUGGGAGGAACACCAUGGGCGAAGGCGGCUUUCGGGGCUGCCCCUGACGCUGAGGCGCGAAAGCCGGGGGAGCAAACCGGAUUAGAUACCCGGGUAGG
rnacentral:rRNA from 1 species